rnacentral:ribozyme from 1 species
AAAGUAGGUGAAUUCAGGGAACCCCUUGGCUGUAAAUGUGCCAAGGGCAAUCCUGAGCCAAGCCCCGCAGGUGCGGGGAAGGUGCAGAGACUAAGCGCCUACC